AAUCUGGCGUCUUCGACGUCCGAGUUGUAAUCUCGAGAAGUGUUUUCCGUGAUAGACCGCAUACAAGUCUCUUGGAACAGAGCGUCAUAGUGGUGAGAACCCAGUACACGAUGCGGAUGCCUAUUACUUUGUGAUACACUUUCGAAGAGUCGAGUUGUUUGGGAAUGCAGCUCAAAUUGGGUGGUAAAUUCCAUCUAAAGCUAAAUAUUGGCGAGAGACCGAUAGCGAACAAGUACCGUGAGGGAAAGAUGAAAAGCACUUUGGAAAGAGAGUUAACAGUACGUGAAAUUGUUGGAAGGGAAACACAUGCAGUGAUACUUGCUAUUCGGGGCAACUCGAUUGGCAGGCCCGCAUCAGUUUUUCGGGGCGGAAAAUCGUAGAGAGAAGGUAGCAGUUUCGG
rnacentral:rRNA from 1 species